rnacentral:rRNA from 1 species
GAGUCAUUGGGAUAGCACUCCACCUAAAGGCGUAAUGAAAGUGAAGGUCCGCCUCGCGCGGCCCUAGGAAGGAUGGGUCCGUCCACGGAGGGCCCCGCACUCCCGGGGCGUCUCGUUCUCAUCGCGAGAAGAGGCGCACCUAGAGCGUACACGCUGGGACCCGAAAGAUGGUGAACUAUGCCUGGUCAGGACGAAGUCAGGGGAAACCCUGAUGGAGGUCCGUAGCGAUUCUGACGUGCAAAUCGAUCGUCGGAACUGGGUAUAGGGGCGAAAGACUAAUCGAACCAUCUAGUAGCUGGUUCCCUCCGAAGUUUCCCUCAGGAUAGCUGGCGCUCGCCGCGUGCGAGUCUCAUUCGGUAAAGCGAAUGAUUAGAGGCAUUGGGGUCGAAACGGCCUCAACCUAUUCUCAAACUUUAAAUGGGUGAGAUCUCCGGCUUGCUUGAACAGUGAAGCCGCGAGACAUCGGAUCAGAGUGCCAAGUGGGCCACUUUUGGUAAGCAGAACUGGCGCUGUGGGAUGAACCAAACGCCGAGUUAAAGCGCCAAAAUCGACGCUUAUGGGAUACCAUGAAAGGCGUUGGUAACUUAAGACAGCAGGACGGUGG